GUUUGCCUACGGGGCGCAGCAGUAGGGAAUAUUGCUCAAUGGGGGAAACCCUGAAGCAGCAACGCCGCGUGGAGGAUGAAGGUUUUAGGAUUGUAAACUCCUUUUGUGAGAGAAGAUAAUGACGGUAUCUCACGAAUAAGCACCGGCUAACUCCGUGCCAGCAGCCGCGGUAAUACGGAGGGUGCAAGCGUUACUCGGAAUCACUGGGCGUAAAGAGUGCGCAGGCGGGCUUGUAAGUCAGAGGUCAAAACCUGUAGCUUAACUACAGAA
rnacentral:rRNA from 1 species